rnacentral:tRNA from 1 species
GCUCAGUUGGUAGAGCAUAAGGCUCUUAACCUUAUGGACGUGGGUACGAGCCCCAU